rnacentral:rRNA from 1 species
CCUACGGGUGGCAGCAGUGGGGAAUAUUGGGCAAUGGGCGCAAGCCUGACCCAGCGACGCCGCGUGAGGGAAGACGGUCUUCGGAUUGUAAACCUCUUUCAGCAGGGAAGACAAAAGGACGGUACCUGCAGAAGAAGCCACGGCUAACUACGUGCCAGCAGCCGCGGUAAUACGUAGGUGGCAGGCGUUAUCCGGAAUUACUGGGUGUAACGGGUGUGUAGGCGGGGCUGUAAGUCAGAUGUGAAAAUUAUGGGCUCAACCCAUAACCUGCGUCUGAAACUGUAGGUCUUGAGAGUGUGAGAGGUAAACGGAAUGCGCGGUGUAGCGGUGAAAUGCGUAGAUAUCGGGAGGAACACCAGUGGCGAAGGCGGUUUACUGGACCACAACUGACGCUGAGACACGAAAGCGUGGGGAGCAAACAGGAUUAGAUACCCGUGUAGUC